rnacentral:rRNA from 1 species
AAACAUCGCCUCCUGCAAAUCAUAGUAUAGGAGGUCUUACCUGCCCAGUGACAAGUUAAACGGCCGCGGUAUUUUGACCGUGCAAAGGUAGCGCAAUCACUUGUCUCUUAAAUAGAGACCUGUAUGAAUGGUAGAACGAGGGCUUAUCUGUCUCCCUUUUCCAGUCAAUGAAAUUGAUCUGCCCGUGCAGAAGCGGGCCUAAAACCACAAGACGAGAAGACCCUUUGGAGCUUGAGACACAAAAUUAAAUAUGUCAAGAAUAUCAAAAAUAACUUAAACUAAAUAUUAACUAAUUUAAGUCUUAGGUUGGGGCGACCGCGGGAGACAAAAAAGCUCCCACGUGGUUUGGAGCCUAAAGCUCUAAAACCAAGAAAGACAUUUCUAAGAAUCAGAACAUCUGACCAUAAAGAUCCGGCUUACAUACCGAUCAGCGAACCAAGUUACCCAAGGGAUAACAGCGCAAUCCCCUUUAAGAGUCCAUAUCGACAAGGGGGUUUACGACCUCGAUGUUGGAUCAGGACAUCCUAAUGGUGCAGCCGCUAUUAAGGGUUCGUUUGUUCAACGAUUAAAGUCCUACGUGAU